UACGGAAGGCAGCAGUGGGGAAUAUUGCACAAUGGGCGCAAGCCUGAUGCAGCCAUGCCGCGUGUAUGAAGAAGGCCUUCGGGUUGUAAAGUACUUUCAGUCGUGAGGAAGGUGUUAAGGUUAAUAACCUUAGCAAUUGACGUUAGCGACAGAAGAAGCACCGGCUAACUCCGUGCCAGCAGCCGCGGUAAUACGGGAGGGUGCGAGCGUUAAUCGGAAUUACUGGGCGUAAAGGGCACGCAGGCGGUUAAUUAAGUUGGAUGUGAAAUCCCCGGGCUUAACCUGGGAAUGGCAUUCAAGACUGGUUAGCUAGAGUCUUGUAGAGGGGGUAGAAUUCCAUGUGUAGCGGUGAAAUGCGUAGAGAUGUGGAGGAAUACCGGUGGCGAAGGCGGCCCCUGGACAAAGACUGACGCUCAUGUGCGAAAGCGUGGGGAGCAAACAGGGAUUAGAUACC
rnacentral:rRNA from 1 species